UCACUGCCUCUGUACUUGGAGACAUACCUAUUUUCUCUAAUUGCCAAAGGCAAAGGGGACGUGCACGAAUGAAUAAAGAAGGUUAUUGUGACAGAUGAAACAUAAUUCACAAUGAAUACUCUUUUCAUUCAGACUUAACAUGGAAGAGGAUUAGUCCAAGCUGAAAUUUAGAAGAGGGAGUAAACUUCAUUCCAAUAAUACAAGGACAGGCCAGAAAUGGAAAACUACUGUAAAUGCAAACAGGAUUUGCUCAUGAUUUUGGAUUGUUUCGUACCAGAAGAAAUAUUAAACUGACAAAAGUUGAAGAGAAAUAGCAAUAGAAACCAAAAUGACAUACGAUGCUUUUUCUAGACUGGAUCGUGAUGAAUGCUUAUUGUAUGUUUCUUCUUCCUCUGACAGAGAUUUAAUGAAUGAAAAAUGUUUUUUUUCUUCAGUAAAUACAUUUUUUGAAAAUACUAUGAUUUCAUAAGACAAGCUGGAGGGGAGUCAAAUCUGCCACAUGCUGUGUGAAAAAAUGCCACCCUGGUGUGAACAAAGGGUUUAGAAUGGAGUCAAGAAGCGUGCAAGCUCAAUGUCUAAGCUUUUCCUGUGAAUUGUUCUGCCGCAACCUGCAGGAUAUCGAGUGGGCUAGAAAGAAUAGGGAGCUCUUGGAAGCUACAGCAGAGAAACACUUGCAAUCCAAAGUAGAGAGAGAGCCUCUUUUGUUUUGUGCUUCCUUCGGCAAACUGUUUUACCCAAAACAGAAACCAAAUUUCAAACAAAAAUUUCAAUAACAAUAAAAUGCGAAGAUUGGCUAAAGAAUCCAUAUUAUCUACCUUUACAUCUUGAACUAAAUGUUGAAAUUUAUUAAUAAUAUGAAUAGUAGCAUGGCUCUUUCAAGUGUUGCUCCAAAUGGGCUUUAAUAGUCCAAAU